GUCGUCCGUGGGCCGGCAGUGGUGAGAGUGGCGUGAAGUAUUUCAGGUUAACACUGUGUCAAGAGUAACGAAGACUGCCAUGUUUACUUAGAUUCUUAAAUUGCACUGAAGUGAUCGUGGCACUAAAUUUUGCAUCAGACAUCGCUCUCCCAGGAUGGCAGCCAUUGAUUUGACGCAUGAUCUUUCUAGAGAUCCUUUUUUUCUUCCUGAGGUAAACACAGAGACAGAAAAGAUGGUAGCUGUCUGGCUGAAAAAUUAUCAUCAGGUAAUUUUAAAGAAGCAUAUCAGUCAACAGAAUGAAU
rnacentral:lncRNA from 1 species